rnacentral:pre_miRNA from 1 species
GGAAUUCCGCUAGUUCUGAACUAUUUACAGUUGGAAAAAGUUCACUACUAGCAGAACUCGG